GAUGAACGCUAGCGGCAGGCUUAAUACAUGCAAGUCGAGGGGCAGCAUGAAUGUAGCAAUACAUUUGAUGGCGACCGGCAAACGGGUGCGGAACACGUACACAACCUUCCUAUAAGUGGGGAAUAGCCCAGAGAAAUUUGGAUUAAUACCCCGUAACAUAAUGAUGUGGCAUCACAUUAUUAUUAUAGCUUCGGCGCUUAUUGAUGGGUGUGCGGCUGAUUAGAUAGUUGGCGGGGUAACGGCCCACCAAGUCUACGAUCAGUAGCUGAUGUGAGAGCAUGAUCAGCCACACGGGCACUGAGACACGGGCCCGACUCCUACGGGAGGCAGCAGUAAGGAAUAUUGGUCAAUGGACGCAAGUCUGAACCAGCCUUGCCGCGUGAAGGAUUAAGGUCCUCUGGAUUGUAAACUUCUUUUAUCUGGGACGAAAAAAGGCUAUUCUUAGUCACUUGACGGUACCAGAUGAAUAAGCACCGGCUAACUCCGUGCCAGCAGCCGCGGUAA
rnacentral:rRNA from 1 species